rnacentral:ncRNA from 1 species
GUUACAUCGAUGACCAGGAAGAGUACACAUGGCUAGAGAGCCACAGCGAGCCAACGGCAGUGGGAGUUUGGCGCCGCUCAGCAUGUCGAAUGGACCUGGGAGAUACAGUCCGAGCCGGUUACCGGGGUAGGCGCUGUCGGGAUUCUUCCGCCGUUACCAGGAAGCAGGUAUCGGGCUUAUUGUCCUGUACUUAGAUUGAGCCGGGCCGGAGGAAUCUGGUCAACUAGGGUGGCACCGCGGGUUAUAGUACCCCGUCCCUUGG